rnacentral:rRNA from 1 species
CUGCCAUUAGGUAGGCUUUUGUGGAAUGUAAAAAGUUCUACGAAUAAGGACUGGGUAAGACUAGUGCCAGCCGCCGCGGUAAUACUAGCGGUCCAAGUCGCAGCCAUUCUUAUUGGGUCUAAAACAUCCGUAGCUUGCUUGAUAAGUUUUCUGUGAAAUCUCAUAUCUCAAGUAUAAGAAUUGUGGAAAAUACUGUCAAGCUAGAGACCGGGAGACGUAAAGAGUACGUCUAAAGUAGCGGUAAAAUGUGUUGAUCUUAGGGCGNACUGACGAUAGCGAAGGGCACUUUACGAGAACGGUUCUGACAGUAAGGGGAUGAAGGCUAGGGGGCGCAAAACGGAUUAGAUACCCGUGUAGUCCUAGCAGUAAACACUGCACACUAAACCUUUGAGAUCUCUUUCGAGAGAUUGCAGGGCUGCAGGGAAGCCGAAGAGUGUGCUACCUGGGGAAGUAUAGUCGCAAGGCUGAAACUUAAAGGAAUUGGCGGGGAGACACUACAACGGGUGACGCGUGCGGUUCAAUUAGAUUAUACACCGUGAACCUCACCAGGAGCGACAGCAGAAUGAAGGUCAGUCUAAAGGGCUUACCUGACACGCUGAGAGGGGUUGCAUGGCCGACGUCAGCCUGUGCUGUGAGGCGAUCUGUUAAAUCAGAUAACAGGCAAGACCC